UACGGAGGGGGCGAGCGUUAUUCGGAAUUAUUGGGCGUAAAGGGCUCGUAGGUGGCCAACUAAGUCAGACGUGAAAUCCCUCGGCUUAACCGGGGAACUGCGUCUGAUACUGGAUGGCUUGAGAUUGGGAGAGGGAUGCGGAAUUCCAGGUGUAGCGGUGAAAUGCGUAGAUAUCUGGAGGAACACCGGUGGCGAAGGCGGCAUCCUGGACCAAUAUUGACGCUGAGGAGCGAAAGCUAGGGGAGCAAACGGG
rnacentral:rRNA from 1 species